CUUAAACUAUGUGUUGUGUACUUUCAGGUUACUGGUUUCUUCUGUACAGCCAGGGAGAUAUGUGAGGUGUGUCCUUCAUCUUUCAGUUAGUGUUGUCUUCUGUACAGCCAGAGAGUGCAGUGAAGUGUUUCCUCCAUCUUUACUUAAAUUGGCUGGGCUGACUUAUUAUUUUGUAGGCACUUCAUUGGGAUCAACCCAGAGAGAGGAACCAAGGCCAUUCGGGGCAAGAUUGUCUCCAAGAGGACAGGGAGAGUCAUUCAGAAGAAGUUUGUCACAGUCAAUCCCCGUGUGUCCAGUCUUCUGAAGAACC